CCUCCCCCUAGAGGAGUUACAGGUGUGGCUGCUGCAUCACCUGCACAUCAGAAGGUGGCAGAGAGGAGAGAGGCUGUGUCAACAUCUGAAUGAGUAGUAGCCUAACACU
ensembl:snoRNA Gm26404 predicted gene, 26404